UGAUCAGAGGAGCUGGGCUCCUUGCGAGCUCAACCUAUUCUCAAACUUUCAAUGGGUGAGACGUCUCGCUGGCUUCACUGCAGCGACGACUCUGAAUCCGAGUGCCCAGUGGGCCACUUUUGGUAAGCAGAACUGGCGAUGCGGGAUGAACCGCAUGUCGAGUUAAGGUGCCUAAGCGGACGCAAAUCAGAUACCAUGAAAGGUGUUGAUUGCUCACGACAGCAGGACGGUGGCCAUGGAAGUCGGCAUCCGCUAAGGAGUGUGUAACAACUCACCUGCCGAAGCAAUCAGCCCUGAAAAUGGAUGGCGCUAAAGCGUUCCACCGAUACUCGACCGUCGUCGGCACGCGACCGGCCUUCCCAGUGCCGGUCUCAGGCCACGACGAGUAGGGCGGCGCGGCGGUGAGCGUCGAAGGCGUAGCCGUGAGGCUAGCUGGAGCCGCCGUCGGUGCAGAUCUUGGUGGUAGUAGCAAAUACACAAGCAAGAUCCUUGUGGACCGAUGUGGAGAAGGGUUCCGCGCGAACAGUACUUGGACGUGGGUGAGUCGGCCCUAAGCCAACGGGUAAUUCCCGCAUCCCG
rnacentral:rRNA from 1 species